AUUGAACGCUAGCGGGAUGCCUUACACAUGCAAGUCGAACGGAGUGGCGAACGGGUGAGUAAUGUAUCGGAACGUGCCCAGUAGCGGGGGAUAACUACGCGAAAGCGUAACUAAUACCGCAUACUAUUGGAGCGGCCGAUAUCGGAUUAGCUAGUGGUUGGGGUAACGGCUAACCAAGGCGACGAUCCGUAGCUGGUUUGAGAGGACGACCAGCCAAACUGGGACUGAGACACGGCCCAGACUCCUACGGUAGGCAGCAGUGGGGAAUGUUGGACAAGGGGGGCAAGCCUGAUGCAGCCAUCCCGCGUGAGUGAAGAAGGUGUUCGGAUCGUAAAACACUGUUGUUAGAGAAGCGUUAUCUAACCAGAAAGCCACGGCUAACUACGUGCCAGCAGCCGCGGUAAUAC
rnacentral:rRNA from 1 species